GACUUUCAAGAAUUUGUGGUUCGUUUUGUUUUGAAAGCUUAAAGAGGGAUAAUAAUACUUCCCGGAAGUCU
rnacentral:tRNA from 1 species